rnacentral:rRNA from 1 species
UACAGAGGGGGCAAGCGUUGUUCGGAAUUACUGGGCGUAAAGGGCGCGUAGGCGGCCUGCUAAGUCGAACGUGAAAUCCCUGGGCUUAACCCAGGAACUGCGUCCGAUACUGGCAGGCUUGAAUCCGGGAGAGGGAUGCGGAAUUCCAGGUGUAGCGGUGAAAUGCGUAGAUAUCAGGUGGAACACCAGUGGCGAAGGCGGCUUUCUGGACGGUAACUGACGCUGAGACGCGAAAGCGUGGGGAGCAAACAGG